rnacentral:rRNA from 1 species
UUAUGCUUUCACCUGCGUGUCCCAUAGUGGUAUAGUAUAUACAGGGUAUAUAUGAGUCAAAAUCGAAGUCGGUUUGGGUUCGGUUGGUUCCAUAUAUACUAAAGAAAGCAUGA